rnacentral:SRP_RNA from 1 species
GCUGGGCGUGGUGGUGCUCGCCUGUAAUCCCAGUUACUCGGGAGGCUGAGGCAGGAAAAUCACUUGAACCCAGGAGGCAGAGGUUGCAGUGAGCUGAGAUUGCACCACUGCACUCCAGCCUGGGUGACAGAGUGAGACUCUGUCUCAA